UACGAAGGGUGCAAGCGUUACUCGGAAUUACUGGGCGUAAAGCGUGCGUAGGUGGUUUGUUAAGUCUGAUGUGCAAGUCCUGGGCUCAACCUGGGAAUUGCAUUGGAUACUGGCAGGCUAGAGUGCGGUAGAGGGUAGUGGAAUUCCCGGUGUAGCAGUGAAAUGCGUAGAGAUCGGGAGGAACAUCUGUGGCGAAGGCGACUACCUGGACCAGCACUGACGCUUAGGCACGAAAGCGUGGGGAGCAAACAGG
rnacentral:rRNA from 1 species